rnacentral:rRNA from 1 species
UGCCGCGUGCAGGAUGAAGGCCUUCGGGUUGUAAACUGCUUUUGUACGGAACGAAAAGUCUCUUUCUAAUAAAGAGGGAUGAUGACGUACCGAAGAUAGCCCGC